CUUUAUGUCAGACAACCCUCCUGAG
rnacentral:piRNA from 1 species